AUUGAACGCUGGCGGCAUGCUUUACGCAUGCAAGUCGAACGGCAGCGCGGGCUUCGGCCUGGCGGCGAGUGGCGAACGGGUGAGUAAUGCAUCGGAACGUGCCCAGUAGUGGGGGAUAGCCCGGCGAAAGCCGGAUUAAUACCGCAUACGACCUGAGGGUGAAAGCGGGGGACCGAAAGGCCUCGCGCUAUUGGAGCGGCCGAUGUCGGAUUAGCUAGUUGGUGGGGUAAAGGCUUACCAAGGCGACGAUCCGUAGCUGGUCUGAGAGGACGACCAGCCACACUGGGACUGAGACACGGCCCAGACUCCUACGGGAGGCAGCAGUGGGGAAUUUUGGACAAUGGGGGCAACCCUGAUCCAGCCAUGCCGCGUGCGGGAAGAAGGCCUUCGGGUUGUAAACCGCUUUUGUUCGGGAAGAAAUCCUCUGGGCUAAUACCCCGGGGGGAUGACGGUACCGGAAGAAUAAGCACCGGCUAACUACGUG
rnacentral:rRNA from 1 species